ACCGUAAGGUGGUACCAGAAUAAGGGCNGGGCAAGACCGGUGCCAGCCGCCGCGGUAAUACCGGCAGCCCAAGUGAUGGCCGAUCUUAUUGGGCCUAAAGCGUCCGUAGCUGGCCGCGCAAGUCCAUCGGGAAAUCCACCUGCUCAACAGGUGGGCGCCCGGUAGAAACUGCGUGGCUUGGGACCGGAAGGCGCGACGGGUACGUCCGGGGUAGGAGUGAAAUCCCGUAAUCCUGGACGGACCGCCGAUGGCGAAAGCACGUCGCGAGAACGGAUCCGACAGUGAGGGACGAAAGCCAGGGUCUCGAACCGGAUUAGAUACCCGGGUAGUCCUGGCCGUAAACAAUGUCUGCUAGGUGUGGCUCCCACUACGAGUGGGUGCUGUGCCGUAGGGAAGCCGCUAAGCAGACCGCCUGGGAAGUACGUCCGCAAGGAUGAAACUUAAAGG
rnacentral:rRNA from 1 species